AAAAGUUGAGCAAUAGUGGCGUUUUUAGUACAAACGCCGCUAAUAUGUAUUUUUUUUUGUAAAACGGUAUCAUUUUGUUAGCCCCGAAAUGCCUUAGUCUUUUUCCCAAAAUCGGUUCCCCCUCCCCAAAAUCCCUAAGUAAUUUCCCCAGAACCCUUUCCCUUUUUCCCACUUCAUUUCCCCCAUAUCAGACCCCCCGAAAUCCCUAAAUUUCACCCGAAAUCCCUAUUUUUUCCCCAUUUUAUUUUCCCCAAAUCAUUUCUCCCUUACCUUGAAAUCCCUAACAAUUUUCCCAAUUCCCUUUAUUUUUUCCUCAACUUUUUUUCCCCAAAUCGACAGUCCUUUGCAUCGCUGUCGCCAGCCCUUUGCUGCAUCUCCGUCGGUAGCACUCUACUGCUUCGCCUGCCUUGUAAGUUUAUUUUUUCAUUUUGUUUGAUUGUUAUUUUUUUUAUUUGUUAAAUGAGUAAAACUAUAUUUUGUUUGAUUAGUGCCAUCUUCGGGUCAGUAACAAUCUGACAACACUUAUUCAACAAUCUGUAUAUGUUUUGAAAAUGACUUUGCUUAUUUCUCUUCUCCAACUAUUGAUUGAUGGAUUAGCAAAUUUUAACAGUAGGGUAAGAAUAAAAGUGGACUAAUUGAAGAUAACAUGUCUGCUUUAUGGGUGUUUUUGUAUCAUAUUAUUUGUCUGCAACAAAUAAAAUCUAUUUGAUCUCACAAAAUGAAAAAAAACUCACAGAGAAAAUUAGUGAAUGUACCGCAUUUUGUCAUCAUUUCAACCAUAGCCUUAUGUAUGCCAAUCUUAAAUUUCUUCAAAUUUUUUUGAGUAAGACAAUGUGUUUGUUUGAUUGUAAAUUCAGAACUUGAAGCAAAAAGGAUUAAAUUCAUAAAUAGUUUAA
rnacentral:lncRNA from 1 species